rnacentral:rRNA from 1 species
GGGGAAUAUUGCACAAUGGGCGAAAGCCUGAUGCAGCAACGCCGCGUGAGUGAUGAAGGUCUUCGGAUUGUAAAGCUCUGUCUUUUGGGACGAUAAUGACGGUACCAAAGGAGGAAGCCACGGCUAACUACGUGCCAGCAGCCGCGGUAAUACGUAGGUGGCGAGCGUUGUCCGGAUUUACUGGGCGUAAAGGGUGCGUAGGCGGAUGUUUAAGUGAGAUGUGAAAUACCCGGGCUUAACUUGGGUGCUGCAUUUCAAACUGGAUAUCUAGAGUGCAGGAGAGGAGAAUGGAAUUCCUAGUGUAGCGGUGAAAUGCGUAGAGAUUAGGAAGAACACCAGUGGCGAAGGCGAUUCUCUGGACUGUAACUGACGCUGAGGCACGAAAAGCGUGGGUAGCAAACAGGAUUAGAUACCCUGGUAGUCCACGCCGUAAAACGAUGAGUACUAGGUGUAGGAGGUAUCGACCCCUUCUGUGCCGCAGUAAAACACAUUAAGUACUCCGCCUGGGAAGUACGAUCGC